rnacentral:rRNA from 1 species
AUUAACGCUGGCGGCGUGCCUAACACAUGCAAGUUGAACGCGCUUUUAGAGGUAGCAAUAUCUCUAAGGGUGAGUAGCGAACGGGUGAGGAAUAUAUAGGUAAUUUUCCCCUUAGUCUGGAAUAACUUUCUGAAAAGGAAGCUAAUACCGGAUACGCUCUUUUUACCGCAUGGUAGAAAGAGGAAAGGUUUACCGCUUAGGGAGAAGCUUAUAUCUGAUUAGCUGGUUGGUAGGGUAAUGGCCUACCAAGGCUAUGAUCAGUAGCUGGUCUGAGAGGACGAACAGCCACACUGGGACUGAGACACGGCCCAGACUCCUACGGGAGGCAGCAGUGGGGAAUAUUGCGCAAUGGGCGAAAGCCUGACGCAGCGACGCCGCGUGAGUGAUGAAGUCUUUCGGGAUGUAAAACUCUGUCAAGAGGGACGAUAAUGACGGUACCUCUGAAGGAAGCCCCGGCUAACUACGU